rnacentral:rRNA from 1 species
AACGAACGCUGGCGGCAGGCCUAACACAUGCAAGUCGAGCGCCCAGCAAUGGGAGCGGCGGACGGGUGAGUAACGCGUGGGAAUUUUUCCUGGAGUACGGAACAACCGGGGGAAACUUCGGCUAAUACCGUAUGAUGCCGAGAGGCCAAAGAUUUAUCGCUCUGGGGUGAGCCCGCGUCAGAUUAGGUAGUUGGUGGGGUAAAGGCCUACCAAGCCUGCGAUCUGUAGCUGGUCUGAGA